GGUACGGUACGCUCAUACAGGGGGAUAACAGUUGGAAACGGCUGCUAAUACCGCAUAAGCGCACAGUACCGCAUGGUACGGUGUGAAAAACUCCGGUGGUAUGAGAUGGACCCGCGUCUGAUUAGGUAGUUGGUGGGGUAACGGCCUACCAAGCCGACGAUCAGUAGCCGACCUGAGAGGGUGACCGGCCACAUUGGGACUGAGACACGGCCCAA
rnacentral:rRNA from 1 species